CCUACGGGAGACUGCAGUGAGGAAUAUUGGUCAAUGGACGAGAGUCUGAACCAGCCAAGUCGCGUGAAGGAUGACUGCGCUAUGCAUUGUAAACUUCUUUUAUCUGGGAAUAAAAUGUUCCACGUGUGGGUGUUCGUAUGUACCAUAUGAAAAAGCAUCGGCUAACUCCGUGCCAGCAGCCGCGGUAAUACGGAGGAUCCGAGCGUUAUCCGGAUUUAUUGGGUUUAAAGGGUGCGUAGGUGGAUUGUUAAGUCAGUUGUGAAAGUCUGCGGCUCAACCGUAAAAUAGCAGUUGAAACUGGCAGUCUUGAGUACAGGAGAGGUGGGCGGAAUGCGUGGUGUAGCGGUGAAAUGCUUAGAUAUCACGCAGAACUCCGAUUGCGAAGGCAGCUCACCGGACUGCAACUGACGCUGAGGCACGAAAGUGUGGGUAUCAAACAGGAUUAGAUACCCUGGUAGUC
rnacentral:rRNA from 1 species